rnacentral:rRNA from 1 species
GCGAACUGGUAAAAGCUCAAUUCAAAUCUGCGGUCAUGAGGCCGUCGAAUUGUAAUCUAAAGGGGUCAGCAAAAGGUGGAUGGGAGGCAUAAGUCGCUUGGAACAGCGCGCCAAAGAGGGUGAUAGCCCCGUAUUAGGCCUCGCGGAAACCGAAUGUUGGCUUUCAAAGAGUCGGGUUGUUUGGGAUUGCAGCCCUAAAUGGGAGAUAAACUUCUUCUAAGGCUAAAUAUUUAUGGGAAACCGAUAGCGAACAAGUACUGUGAAGGAAAG